rnacentral:rRNA from 2 species
AGAGUUUGAUCCUGGCUCAGGAUGAACGCUGGCGGCGUGCCUAAUACAUGCAAGUCGAGCGAACGGACGAGAAGCUUGCUUCUCUGAUGUUAGCGGCGGACGGGUGAGUAACACGUGGAUAACCUACCUAUAAGACUGGGAUAACUUCGGGAAACCGGAGCUAAUACCGGAUAAUAUUUUGAACCGCAUGGUUCAAAAGUAAAAGACGGUCUUGCUGUCACUUAUAGAUGGAUCCGCGCUGCAUUAGCUAGUUGGUAAGGUAACGGCUUACCAAGGCAACGAUGCAUAGCCGACCUGAGAGGGUGAUCGGCCACACUGGAACUGAGACACGGUCCAGACUCCUACGGGAGGCAGCAGUAGGGAAUCUUCCGCAAUGGGCGAAAGCCUGACGGAGCAACGCCGCGUGAGUGAUGAAGGUCUUCGGAUCGUAAAACUCUGUUAUUAGGGAAGAACAUAUGUGUAAGUAACUGUGCACAUCUUGACGGUACCUAAUCAGAAAGCCACGGCUAACUACGUGCCAGCAGCCGCGGUAAUACGUAGGUGGCAAGCGUUAUCCGGAAUUAUUGGGCGUAAAGCGCGCGUAGGCGGUUUUUUAAGUCUGAUGUGAAAGCCCACGGCUCAACCGUGGAGGGUCAUUGGAAACUGGAAAACUUGAGUGCAGAAGAGGAAAGUGGAAUUCCAUGUGUAGCGGUGAAAUGCGCAGAGAUAUGGAGGAACACCAGUGGCGAAGGCGACUUUCUGGUCUGUAACUGACGCUGAUGUGCGAAAGCGUGGGGAUCAAACAGGAUUAGAUACCCUGGUAGUCCACGCCGUAAACGAUGAGUGCUAAGUGUUAGGGGGUUUCCGCCCCUUAGUGCUGCAGCUAACGCAUUAAGCACUCCGCCUGGGGAGUACGACCGCAAGGUUGAAACUCAAAGGAAUUGACGGGGACCCGCACAAGCGGUGGAGCAUGUGGUUUAAUUCGAAGCAACGCGAAGAACCUUACCAAAUCUUGACAUCCUUUGACAACUCUAGAGAUAGAGCCUUCCCCUUCGGGGGACAAAGUGACAGGUGGUGCAUGGUUGUCGUCAGCUCGUGUCGUGAGAUGUUGGGUUAAGUCCCGCAACGAGCGCAACCCUUAAGCUUAGUUGCCAUCAUUAAGUUGGGCACUCUAAGUUGACUGCCGGUGACAAACCGGAGGAAGGUGGGGAUGACGUCAAAUCAUCAUGCCCCUUAUGAUUUGGGCUACACACGUGCUACAAUGGACAAUACAAAGGGCAGCGAAACCGCGAGGUCAAGCAAAUCCCAUAAAGUUGUUCUCAGUUCGGAUUGUAGUCUGCAACUCGACUACAUGAAGCUGGAAUCGCUAGUAAUCGUAGAUCAGCAUGCUACGGUGAAUACGUUCCCGGGUCUUGUACACACCGCCCGUCACACCACGAGAGUUUGUAACACCCGAAGCCGGUGGAGUAACCUUUUAGGAGCUAGCCGUCGAAGGUGGGACAAAUGAUUGGGGUGAAGUCGUAACAAGGUAGCCGUAUCGGAAGGGGCGGCUGGAUCACCU